rnacentral:lncRNA from 1 species
CAUAUAUAUAUAUAUAUAUAUAUAUAUAUAAUGAAAGCAACUGUCAUUUUUAUUUAUUGGCUUUCUUUUAGUAGGAAAAAUCAAUAGUGGCUAUGAACCAUUUUCACGAUAUUUACUAAAGAAUUUUAGAGUUGACCAAUUUUUCCAACACAUUUGGUUGCUAAUUAAUCAUAAAGCUAAUUUUCUAUUACAAUUUAUCAUAUAAUUCCAUUAUGUCAAUGUGUCAUAACAGUGAACAAUUUAUCAUAUAACAAUUUAUUAUAUAACAAAUUUGCUCCUCCUGUCAGCUCAAACCUUCAUCAUAUCUUACCAAAAUUUGUUAUAUAGAUUUCGAACGAAACUAUUAUCUUGGAAAUAUAAAGGUGCCAUUAAGAGGGAGUCCUUUCAUUCUCAUUAAAAUACAAAUGCUACUCUCAGCUAUUUAUCCUAAAAAGGUUUAUAGUGAAUAUUUACGAUUUUGGAUUUAUCAUUGAUCUCUUAACCUCCUCGAAUGAGUAAUAAAGAGGUUGUCCUUUUACAUUUUUCUCUUCUGUUUUUCGAGUUUCAAAAUUUUAUCUUCAAUAAUAAUAAUAAUCUUACUCAUAUUAGUUUUUCUAGAUCUAAAUAUAAAUAAUCAUUUUGAUUAUUCAUGUGUUGCUGGUUGUCUUGAUAGAAAUUUGUUUUGCAUCUUUCUUGAGUCGCAACUCACCAUUCACCUUUACUCAUUAAAAUAGACCCAUCUCCAAAAAACCUAUAACUACUUCAUUUAACUAUAGAUUUGAUCCCUACUGACUUUGAAACUUUUUGUCAUUAAUUCCUGGUCUAAACUUAUCAACUAACUUACUGCAAGGACAAUGUUCUUGGACUUGCAUAUGUUCCAUGAAGAACCUUCACACCCUCACUUGGGAUUAUUGCUUACCGGAUUAAAUAUAAAGGCAGAAACCUCAAACUUCAGAUUAAAAAAUUACCAUGCAUGACAUCUCUCUUUUUUAGCAAAAAAAAAAGAAAGAAUCUUCUCUAAAAAAUUGUCUGCCUAUAUAUAAUAGACAGUAGCCACAUCUUGAAUGUUCUACUCGUGCCAAGAUCGAAAGCACAAACUUGUUGCAGCAACACCUUUGCACCUCCAGAAGAUGCAAAAAUUAUCUAUUGUUUUGCUGAUUGGUAUUUUGACCUAUGCAAAAUCCCUACUUUCACCCUCCCAUCGGUCUUUGUGCUUGUCCCGUCUUAGACUUCAAGAUCAGCAUCAUCAAUCCCUAAGCCAACCCUUCUCUUUCGAUAAAAUUAGAAAUGCCAUUUCCUAAAUGGGAUCCGAGAAGAGCCGAUGAUCUCAAUGUCGAAUUCUUCAAGCGAUUUUGGAAUAUUCUCAAAAGACAAGAUGGGGUCACACGAGUUCCCGACCAAUUCAUUCUUCUAUAUGGUUGGUUAUAAAGGAACAUCAAAUGCUUGGGAAAGGUCUUCAAGGCAUUUCAUUAUUUCUAUAAUUAGAUUCUCUUACUCAUGGUUCAAUAAAUUCAAAUUUUCUUGGGACUAUAAAUCAUCACACCAAAUUUCUACGAGUCCUAAUUCUGUUAACAGUCAAAUUGUUGCUAUAUUUUCUAGAACUUCAAAAGUGUACUUUUAGAAUGAAAUAUAUGAAAUGCUACGUAUGUAUAGCCAUUUUGAAUCUGUUUGUUUCUUUUUAAAACACAUCCUACAUAAUGUGAUUUAAACACAGUCUUUUUCUGAAUGAACAUGCAGACCGCUAUUUGAAUCCUGUAACAUGGAUCAAAAUUGCUUCAAAAGAAGCGGUACUCAUUAUUUGUUGUAUCAAAACAAUUACUAGAUCUUUUAUCUUCUGUUCAAUUAUCAAAACCUGAAACAUAAGUUAUAAAAUCAACAUAUACAUUGUAACCUAGUCAACUAAACAAGUCUAUGCUGAAAAAAACAAAAGAAAAUAAUAAAUCUCAUCAGCAUACAUAGCAUGAUAAUGAUACAAUAUAACACAGAUUACAUGUGCCCAUUUUCUUUCAAUUCAAAUGUAGCACCAGUUUCCACUGCACUUACAGCUAUCAGCUCACAGAGACUCGGGGUAUGUGAUGCAACCAUUUUUCAGAGGCAUCAUAUGCGACAAAAUAUGGAACUUAUCAACAAAAUAUUAUUUACAACAUACCCAACUGUGAUAGCCCAAUGUAUGAGACGAUGGCUUAGGAGGUAACUUUUGCCGACAACCUACAUGCAAUAAAUAAUUCUUUUGAAGUUUAUAUACCAUACAGAAGACCAAGGAAUCAAGUUCUUCAAAACAGGUGUCCAAGAUUUGCAUCACCUUACCUGUAUAGACCAUUUGAUUGGUCAGACAGCAUAGAGCUUUAUGACCUGCUUAAUCUUGGCACGACAAAUAGGGCAUCCCCAAUUCUUGGCUUCAAUGUCCCUUAAACAUGACAUGCAUCCUGCCAUAUGCCCACACGGAAUACAUGCUCCCUCUACUGGAGCAUCCAAGCAGAUAACACAACAACCUGAUGAACUUUUACUCUCUGCCUUGUCUUCGCUCGAUCCUGGUUUGGAGUAGCUGGAUGUAGAACCAUCUUUAGCUUCAGCAGUUCCAGGUGCAUCCUCCACUGCUGACAUUUUCAUAUCUAUGGGGCUGCAAUCUAUUGAUGGGUAGUGGAUAGGCCCAUCAUAGAAUGUAUCCUCGGUUACUGGAGGAGCAGAAGGAACUAACUGAGUAGGAGGUGCUCCCUGAGAUGAUUGAAUAACUGGAGUAUCAGGGUUCUGCACGUUAGGCUGUGAUGCGCUAGUAUUCAACUGAACUUCCCAUCCAUUGCUUGCAUAUGGUUCAUUUGUUGACCCUUGACCAUUCAUCUUUGAAGAAGUAUCUGCAUUUGGGGUGUCCCAACCAUUGUAAGUUGAAUUGUCUGAAGAGCUUGCCCAAUCAUUUGUAUUGCUUGUUUGUGGAUUAGGUUGGAUAUCAGGCACGCCCUCUGAUAUGGCCGUCUGUAUGGAAGCAUUUAUGGCCAUCGCCAACUCUAGAUCUUCUGGAUUUGAUGUAGGUGCAGCGGUUGACUGUGUUGAAGCAGAUGAAAUUAUUUGGGGAGGACUAGGCAUUGAGACAUCUACUGGCAUUACUGGAAGGCUAUUGGUGACCUGUAAGAGGGAAAUAAUUUACAAAACAUUCAAACAAGUGAAAAUGGAUCUAAAAGUCAACCCAUUAACAUAUAAGUGACAAACUACACGUCAUCAUGACAUUGGAAAUGGAUCUAAAAGUCAAAUUCCCGUGCUUCAAUAUGCAGUUCACAUAAUUCAUAUAGUUUCCGGGCACUAACUGCAAAUGGUUUCGCCUAUUACAUCAAACUUUAUCUUGUAACAAUGCAGAUCAAGUCAAAGAUGAUAUUUAAUGCUUGCUCAGAAGUAGCCCCAUUAAGUUACUGGCUAGAUUUCAUUAUUCAGAUACUUUGGAGGGUCUUUUCGGGAAAUGCAUGUAAUACCUGGGAGAUCCCUUGGCAUGAACUGAAGAACCACUGCAGUUGUUGUUUGUCACCUUCACGUGCAGAUAGAAACUUAUAUCGUGCCCCUGAGUAAAAAGAAUAAUUAAGAACUACAAUUAUAAAACUUAAUCCAAGAAGUCAUCAUUUUGUAGUUGAAUUGAAAGAUACAAAAUUUUUCUAAUGGUAUCCAAACUUAUCCUGAUAUUAAACCAACCACAACUAGUGUCCAUUAUGAACCAUCAAUACUGGCUGAAAGAAUUAAAUGAAUCAAGCUUAACAGUCAUCAUUUUUUUAAACGACCAGUGUAUAUUGCCUAAGUUGUGACUUGUCAGUUGAAGUCAUUUCUGGAACAACCAGUGAAACCAUCAAGUUGUGAGUUGCAGAAGUCAAAAUAAUAUCAGAGAAGUAUGUAAUCGUUAAAAAAUGCCAUUUCAGUCUAUAUUGCCUAAGUACCUACUAGACAUUAAGCACAGAAAUGUAUAAUGAACUUCAUGGAACCAAUCCUUCUGGAAUACAUGCUGCUUAUGCUAACAAGGAGGAAACAAACAAAAUGCAAUUAGAAAGAAGAAUGAUAUGUUUUGAGGACUGCAUACACAUGACUCUUCCUCAAUUUCUUUAUUCACCUUACACCUAGCCGAUACAAAAAAUGCAGAAACGACAAUGAAGCUCUCAUAGAAGUAACAUAGAAUCCAACCAGAAAGAAAUCUUCAAUAGAUUACAACACUUAAAAGCAUGAAAUGCCAACAUAACACCUCAUAAAUAUGGAAGCCUAGAGCCAAAAGAUUAAUUAACAUGGUAUCCCAGUGGCAAUCAUGACUUGCACAAAAUAAUGAGACAUGGAGUAAAUCCAGGUGUAUUACUGACAUCAAAGCAUACAACCAAGAAUAAAAUAGGAUAAACUGUUUCCAGGCACAAAGGGAUUGAGAAUAUGGGUGACAAAAAACUGUGAAUCUGACAGUUUUAGUCGCUCAUUUUUCAACAUUUUCGUAAAGCAGUCACUUGGACAUGUGACACAGUAGACUUCAAUUAGUAAGCUAGACAAAAAAGUGAUUGCUGAUGCAGCUUAAAGUUUCGAGUACUGUAGCAUCAAUAUCAUCAAACUGAGACAUUGCACCUACUAGCAAAAAAAUAUCAGCUGUCUAAAACAAGAUGGAGGACGACAGAUGUGAAGAUUUUCUAUAUCCCCAGCCUAAGGCCAGACUUGGUAUGCCUGAGUGGGUCUCCUAGUAUAAUUUGCAGACUAACUUAGCAGUUGCACCAACAGAAUCUAAAUAUCUCAUAUGUGCUAUAAAAGUCAUAAAUUCAGAAGCAUGUGGAGUGAGAACUGUAACCAUUUUGCAUAUAUAGAAAACCAGAAACUUAUGUGGCAGAAAAAGAAGUUUGGUACUCCAGAGAACCUACUAAAGCAUUUAAAGAUAUGGCACCAAAAUGUUUAUUUGUUAACAAAGUUAAUUUCUUUUAACAAAAAAAUAUUAAGAAAGAAAUUCAAACCAUGUUACAAUUUACAUGAAAUUUUCAAGUCAUUAUUCUCAUUGAACAAAUUUCAAAACAAUGAAGAAACAUACUUGUAGCUUUAUCAACAAUGAUUACAGCAGGAUCUACUUGGUUGAACUUGGGUUCUUCAAUGUGAACUUUCCAGAGUGGAACAACAGUACGUGGCCUGGCAGUCUGCCGAUAAAAAUGAGUGAGUGAGUAAAAACCAAUGACCUACCAUUUAUUGACUGAUUGAAUAACCAAAAGGAGUUUCUAGUCUUUUCAUGAUAAAAGUAGAACUUUUCCUGAUAAAUUCAGGCAAUUUAAAAUGGCUGAAAUACACACACACACACACACACAUAUAUAUAUAUAUGUAUAUAUAUGUAUAUAUAUAUAUAUAUAUAUGUAUAUAUACAUAUAUGUAUAUAUAUAUAUAUAUAUAUGUAUAUAUACAUAUAUAUAUAUAUACAUAUAUACAUAUACAUAUAUACAUAUACAUAUAUAUAUAUACAUAUACAUAUAUAUAUAUAUGUGGAACAAAGACAACUCAUCAUCUAGUCAACUAUCAAGUCCUGCUUGCAGACAGACCCAUUAUGCUCUUAAUCCUCAAUUCUAACUUAAAGUAAGCUACAUUUUUACGUUCUUCUACUCUUGUGCACUAUCUUCUAUUCUUCAAGAAGUUUGGUUACCACUCCCUCCAUGGGGUUAUAGCUGGAAGCAGUUUAGAGCUUAGAGUCAAGAGUAAAGAGUUAGGAGAACAAGAAAGGGCGAUUCGAACUCUAUAUAUGGAACAAAGACAACUCAUCAUCAACUAUCAAGUCCUGCUUGCAGACAGACCCAUUAUGCUUUUAAUCAUAAAUCAGCAAGGUUUUCAUGAAUGAUAUUCACAAUACAAAUGAAAUUUUAAAAAAAUAUAUACCACACCCUAUUAGGGCAAAUAGAACUGAGUGGAUCACUCAUGGCCAAACCACAAUCAACAUUUGUCAAACCAUUAUUAAUAAAUGUUUUAGUUAACUGUGUUGCAUAUAGUGCUUAAUCCAUUUACAUAAAGUAUCCUUGUAAAAGCAUUUUUCAGCAUAAUAACAAGUUGAUGAUACUUUGAACUUCAGUUUUGCAUGUUUAUAUAUGCUCAAAUUAAAAUAUUUCAAAUCCGUUUCGAAGUUCACCUAAAACCUUAAGU